GACAGAGGGUGCAAACGUUGUUCGGAAUUACUGGGCGUAAAGGGCUCGUAGGCGGCCCACUAAGUCAGACGUGAAAUCCCUCGGCUUAACCGGGGAACUGCGUCUGAUACUGGAGGGCUUGAGUUUGGGAGAGGGAUGCGGAAUUCCAGGUGUAGCGGUGAAAUGCGUAGAUAUCUGGAGGAACACCGGUGGCGAAGGCGGCAUCCUGGACCAACACUGACGCUGAGGAGCGAAAGCCAGGGGGGCAAACGGG
rnacentral:rRNA from 1 species